AUACGGAGGAUCCGAGCGUUAUCCGGAUUUAUUGGGUUUAAAGGGUGCGUAGGUGGUUUGAUAAGUCAGCGGUGAAAGUUUGCAGCUUAACUGUAAAAAUGCCGUUGAAACUGUCGGACUUGAGUGUAAAUGAGGUAGGCGGAAUGCGUGGUGUAGCGGUGAAAUGCACAGAUAUCACGCAGAACUCCGAUUGCGAAGGCAGCUUACUAAGCUACAACUGACACUGAAGCACGAAAGCGUGGGGAUCAAACAGGAUUAGAUACCCUGGUAGUCCACGCAGUAAACGAUGAUUACUAGCUGUUUGCGAUACACAGUAAGCGGCACAGCGAAAGCGUUAAGUAAUCCACCUGGGGAGUACGCCGGCAACGGUGAAACUCAAAUGAAUUGACGGGG
rnacentral:rRNA from 1 species